GACGAACGCUGGCGGCGUGCCUAACACAUGCAAGUCGAACGGAGAUAUGAUUUCGGUUGUAUCUUAGUGGCGAACGGUGAGUAACGCGUGAACAACCUGACUCUAAGAGGGGGAUAACACUCGGAAACGGGUGCUAAUACCGCAUAAGACCACGACCUGGCAUCAGGAUGAGGUCAAAGGAGCAAUCCGCUGAGAGAGGGGUUCGCGUCCAUUAGAUAGAUGGCGGGGUAACGGCCCACCAUGUCAACGAUGGGUAGCCGAGCUGAGAGGCUGAUCGGCCACACUGGAACUGAGACACGGUCCAGACUCCUACGGGAGGCAGCAGUGGGGAAUAUUGGGCAAUGGGCGCAAGCCUGACCCAGCAACGCCGCGUGAGGGAAGAAGGCUUUCGGGUUGUAAACCUCUGUCCUUGGUGACGAAACAAAU
rnacentral:rRNA from 1 species